CGGGCACCAGCCGAGCAGACACAUUUGCACAGGGUAGCCUCCUUGUAGUGCUAUCUGCUCCGCCCCUCUUCCUCCCCAGUCCCCACCACACACUCACACAGCCCCGGGCAACUCACGCUCCUGCCCACCACAAAGCCCCCAGGCACCUCUGCUGCGGCCUCCUCCGGACCUCUUUCUACCGGCGCCUCCACUCCUCCAUCCCCUCCAGCCCCGCUCCGCCGUCGUCUCCACUAUGACACCCCCUCCAGCCCCGCUCCGUCGCCCCCUCCAGGAUCCAGCCACUGACUCCACCACCGCAUGUGCCCAUCUCCGCCAACAGUGUUUGACUUUGACGUACAAGAACUAGACCAAGAAGAGAGAGAAGCGAAAGCCACCCUUCGAGCCAUGGACCCCGCGACGGCGGCCAUGGGCUCCCUCCUCCCCAAGCUGUUCGAGCUCCUCCACGGAGAAUACAAGCUGCAGAAGGGCGUGAAGAAAGAUGUACAAUUUCUCGAGAGGGAGAUGAGGAGCAUAGACGCCGCCCUCCGCAAAGUGGCCAUGGUGCCGCGCGACAAGCUCGACGACAACUCCAAGAUCUGGGCCAAUGAUGUCAGGGAGCUGGCAUACGAGAUGGAGGAUGUGGUUGAGCGCUUCAUGGUGGGCGUCCAGGGCUUUGAGCCCGCCGCUAACCCCGACGGCUUCAAAGGGUUCGUGAAGAAGGUGGCCAGCUUGUUCACAAAAGGCAAGGCGCGCCACCAGAUCGCCGAUGCAAUCAAAGGCAUCAAGGAUCAGGUCCAGCAGGUGGCGGAUCGACGCGACCGGUACAAGAUUGAUGAUGUUGAGACAACUCUACUAGCUGCUUCAACCAUGGUUGACCCUCUGGACCCUCGCUUGAUGGUUCAGUUCAAAGAUCAGAGAGAGCUUGUUGGCAUCGAGGGGCCAAGAGACGAGCUAAUCAAGAGGCUGGCAGGUGAAGAUGGUUGUGUGUCCAGGCAGCAGCUCAAGAUCCUCUCGAUCUUCGGAUUUGGAGGACUUGGCAAGACAACCCUUGCCAGAGCAGUUUACGACAAGAUACAAGCAGAAUUCGUAUGUAAGGCUUUUGUUUCGGUCGGUCAGAAGCCUAAUCUGAAGAAUGUUCUCGUAGGUAUUCUCCUCCGAAUUGACAAAGCCUCUUGUCACAAUGUUACAUUGUUAGAUGAGGUGCUGCUCAUUGAGAAACUCCGAGAACUGCUUACGAACAAGAGGUACCUUAUCAUAAUUGAUGAUAUAUGGGAUAUGAGUUCAUGGGAUAUAAUCAAAUGUGUUUUUACUGAUAGUAAGUGUGGAAGCAGAGUAAUCACAACUACUCGUAUCUUUGAAGUGGCAAAAGAGGCUGGUGACAUUUACAAGCAAGAACCUCUUUCUCCAGGUAGAUCGAAGGAAUUGUUCUGUAUGAGAUUGUCUAUUGGCAAAAGCAAAAGUCCUUAUCAUGAAUCAGUUAAGAUAUCUGAGAAGAUAUUGCAGAAAUGUGGUGGCAUACCGCUAGCUAUCAUUACAAUAGCUAGCUUGUUGGCUAGUAAACCAGUAACAGAUUGGCCUGGGGUCUAUGACUCUAUUGGUUUCGGGAAUGAAGAUAACAAAGAAGUGGAUACCACAAGAAAGAUAUUGCUAUAUAGCUACUAUGAUCUUCCAUAUUAUCCACGGCUUUGCCUAUUGCACCUAGGCAUAUACCCCGAAGAUUAUGAGAUAAAAAAGGACACUUUAAUUUGGAAGUGGGUGGCUGAAGGAUAUGUCCGUGAGGAACCAGGAAAAGGAUUAUUUGAGGUUGGAGAGAGAUACCUCAACAUGCUCAUAGACAGAAGCAUGAUCCAGGCAGUGGAGAGGCCAUAUCACAGCAUCAUAUAUGCUUGUCGUGUGCAUGAUUUGGUACUUGAUAUGAUUCAUUUUCUUUCAGAAGACGAAAGUUUUGUUACUGCAUCGAACAGUAACAUGACAUCUCCACGUACCACUUCUCGUAGGUUGGCCAUAAAUAAUGAAAUCAUAGAGCAGGAUGGAUCUGUCGCUAACAUGAGCAUGAAGCAGGUGAGGUUAUAUAGUGCCACCAUGUGUCACUUUAGUACGUUGCCAGUGCUUUCAAACUUUAAAGCUCUACGUGUGUUGGCUUUAGAAGACUGCACUUUCAUGGGAAGUGAGCGCUCUGUGAAGCCGGAAGAUUCUCCUUAUCAUCUUAAUUAUCUUGGGAGGCUGAUUCACCUGAGGUACCUUGGGUUCUCAGACCGGCUGGUUGGGUUCUCCCUGCCUGGGAUCUCCAUGCCGCUUAUCUUAGAGGUCCCUGAAGAAAUAGGGGAUUUAUGGUUUUUGCAAGUACUGGACUUGGGCAGAACUGGCAUUAAAAAACUGCCUCAAACUGUUGGUCGGCUAACGCAAUUGAAGUGCCUGCGCUUUGGCGGUUCCAGUAUGGAGGUGUUGGACUGCACGAAUUUAACAUCCCUAGAAGAGCUACAGUUGCACCUUGUCUCUCCAGAUUUUCUGAAAGGGCUUGCCAAGCUAAAGGAGUUGAGAAAGUUUAGCCUACACUUUGAAGAGGAGCACGGUAAUAUGUUGUUCAAAGAUUUGAUGGGACAUGUUGCCAAUCUACAAAAACUUCAAGUCAUAAUGGUUACUUGUAGGCAUCGACCGUAUCCUCAGCCUUGGUCCGAUUACACUGGCUCUGUGACCCUUGGGCACCUCCGUCAUCUGACAGUGAAUGGCCUGCUUCCUGGGCUACCAGUGUGGAUUAACUCCUCAUGCCUCCCGAACCUCUGCCACUUGUAUAUGGAACUGACGGCUAUGAAAUCGCAGGAUAUGGAGAUCCUCGGGAGAUUCUCAGAGCUCAUUACUCUCACCGUUCUUCUCUAUGAUUACAUGGCUUUUCCUAACGCCAUGGAGGAGGGUGCAUUCCCCAAGUUGAGAUACUUGGAACUGAAGAAUUUUAACCAACCCAGAUUUGUACUGGGAGCAAUGUCCAGCCUUGAGUGUUUUAGGAUAAUAAUCGGCCUGGAAGGGACCAAUGGCUGGGACUUCCAUAGCCUGGUGAACCUCCCUCGUCUUGAGAAAGUUGAUGCUGAAAUCCUAGGCAACACUACCAUGGGUAUCAACGAAGACGAGUUGCAGGCACAUGAGUCGUUGAAGCAGGCACAUGCAUCGUUGAAGCAUGCAGUUGAGAUCCAUCCCAAUCAUCCCGCACUCAAGUUGCAGAUUUAUCAUAGUUGAUCCGAUUUCCCAGCCGUCUUGCACUCAAUGUACCUCUUACGGCUUCAUUUGACAGAAGGAGGCCUUCAUGCAGAUAGUAAUGGAGAUGGAGUUCUAGAUCAUGUUCAGAUCAGAACAGAGCUGUGGUCUGUGGAGAUGGCAAAGUUGACCGGGAUUAAAUCCGUAGGAUGGACUUCAAGCUAAUGAGAUACAGUACAAGAUUGAGUGGCUAAAAAAGUUUUAUGUUCCCGGUGUACUGCAUGGAUCUUCAGGGUGUUGAACCCGACUGAGACACACCCCAGUGACGGGAUGGAAACGAAACACAGUGCCUUUGCAAAGAGAACCCAGCGUCGAUUCUGACAAUGCUUCAACAAUAUAUUCGGUGGAUGAUUGGUUGACGUGGACGGAUGGACUUCUGUCUAUCCGUUGGUGGCCCAUCGCGAUCCUUGUACAAGGUGAGUGAAUGCCAAGCGCAAUUUUUGGAAUGUACGGUGGUAUAGAAGAUAUUGGUGUUGGACUAAUGAUUUGUUGACAGGGAGGAGAGCGGUAUUUACAUUGUGCAUUACAUCCAUGAGUUCAAUGGGCUGUACCUGCAUCUUGUGAUGAACAUAGGUUACAGUAAUAUGUGAUCUCAUUUGUGUUGCAAAUAUUGUUUUAUCACCUACGGAAAAGUCUCGAAUAUGAGAUCGUGACUAUGAGAGAGUAUCAGGGUGACCUGCCAAGUUUCCUGUACCUCGAAAUCGUGGACUGAGGGGAUGAAGUCAGAAUAGUUGCAGGGCGGCCCUAUCUUUUGACCCUAUUGCUCGUGUGUUCCCUAGUGUAGUUUGUCACUUUUGGUUUUCGCGCCUGCGAAUUUCUAAAACCCAAGUGUGGGUUCUGUGGACAUUGGAUUUGAAUGUGUAUUGUUGGACGUAAAGUGCUAGUGGAAUGUUGAAGUCGCAGCAUUUCCCUGAAAUUUCCAUGAAAUGUUUGAAGUCGGACCUAAAGUGCCAGCGGAUAUAAAAGGACGGCUAGUGUUGUGUCAGGCAGUUUAUGAGUUGCAGAUGGAACAUGAUGGCUCAGUAUUAGAGCUGAGACGCGGGGGACUGGCUGUUCCGGCCGGACGGUGAGGACGCCUACCGCAAUAAAUGAGUCAGGGCCCACAUCAUUUCUAUAUCACAUACAGUGAGAAUACCAGAUGGAAUACGAGUUGUGACACGAAUCCACAUGUGACUGGGCGGCUAAGAUAUCAGGUUCAGAUGGGCCUGAGCUCAAAAACGAAUUUUCCUAUUAGAAGUUCGAUCUAUAGUCUACGUGCUAUAUAGUAGCAACAACCAAUGUACGCCAUGAUUAAAAGAAGUAUAAUCUCUUCAGGGAUGUAGGGUGACUUAUUACUUUAACA